rnacentral:rRNA from 1 species
AGUGAACGCUGGCGGCGUGGCUAAGACAUGCAAGUCGAGCGGGAAGAUGAUUGUAGCAAUACAUGAUUUUGAGAGCGGCGAACGGGUGAGUAACACGUAAACAAUUUACCCUAAAGACGGGGAUAGCUCGGGGAAACUCGAAUUAAUACCGGAUGUGGUCUCAUAUCGCAUGAUAUGGGAACUAAAGCUUGAGAUGGCGUUUUAGGAGAAGUUUGCGGCCUAUCAGCUAGUUGGUGAGGUAAUGGCUCACCAAGGCAAAGACGGGUAGCGGGUCUUAGAGGACGAUCCGCCACACUGGAACUGAGACACGGUCCAGACACCUACGGGUGGCAGCAGCUUCGAAUCAUUCACAAUGGGGGAAACCCUGAUGGUGCGACGUCGCGUGGGGGACGAAGGUCUUCGGAUUGUAAACCCCUGUCACAUAGGACUAAACGUAAGGUUAAUAGCCUUACUUGAAUUAACUAUGAGAGGAAGUAGUGGCUAACUCUGUGCCAGCAGCCGCAGUAA